GCCCCUGUGGUCUAAUCCGGAUAUGAUGGAAGCUUGCGGAGCUUUUGAUCCGAGUUCAAAUCUCGGCGGGGGCA
rnacentral:tRNA from 1 species